rnacentral:rRNA from 1 species
GAUGAACGCUAGCGGCAGGCCUAACACAUGCAAGUCGAGGGGUAGAGGAAGCUUGCUUCCUUGAGACCGGCGCACGGGUGCGUAACGCGUAUGCAACCUACCUUUUACAGGGGAAUAGCCCCAGAGAAAUUUGGAUUAAUGCCCCAUGGUAUAAUCGGAUGGCAUCAUUUGAUUAUUAAAGUUCCAACGGUAAAGAUGGGCAUGCGUCCUAUUAGCUAGAUGGUAAGGUAACGGCUUACCAAGACAAUGAUGGGUAGGGGUCCGUGAGAGGGAGAUCCCCCACACUGGUACUGAGACACGGACCAGACUCCUACGGGAGGCAGCAGUGAGGAAUAUGGUCAAUGGGCGCAAGCCUGAACCAGCCAUGCCGCGUGCA